rnacentral:rRNA from 1 species
GAUGAACGCUGGCGGCGUGCCUAAUACAUGCAAGUCGAGCGAACGGACGAGAAGCUUGCUUCUCUGAUGUUAGCGGCGGACGGGUGAGUAACACGUGGAUAACCUACCUAUAAGACUGGGAUAACUUCGGGAAACCGGAGCUAAUACCGGAUAAUAUUUUGAACCGCAUGGUUCAAAAGUGAAAGACGGUCUUGCUGUCACUUAUAGAUGGAUCCGCGCUGCAUUAGCUAGUUGGUAAGGUAACGGCUUACCAAGGCAACGAUGCAUAGCCGACCUGAGAGGGUGAUCGGCCACACUGGAACUGAGACACGGUCCAGACUCCUACGGGAGGCAGCAGUAGGGAAUCUUCCGCAAUGGGCGAAAGCCUGACGGAGCAACGCCGCGUGAGUGAUGAAGGUCUUCGGAUCGUAAAACUCUGUUAUUAGGGAAGAACAUAUGUGUAAGUAACUGUGCACAUCUUGACGGUACCUAAUCAGAAAGCCACGGCUAACUACGUGCCAGCAGCCGCGGUAAUACGUAGGUGGGAAGCGUUAUCCCGAAUUAUUGGGCGUAAAGCGCGCGUAGGCGGUUUUUUAGUCUGAUGUGAAAACCCCGGCGUCACCGUGGAGGGUCAUUGGAAACGGGAAAACUUGAGUGCAGAAGAGGAAAGUGGAAGUCCAUGUGUAGCGGGAAAAUGCGCAGAGAUAUGGAGGAACACCAGUGGGGAAGGCGACUUUCUGGUCUGUAACUGACGCUGAUGUGCGAAAGCGUGGGGAUCAAACAGGAUUAGAUACCCUGGUAGUCCACGCCGUAAACGAUGAGUGCUAAGUGUUAGGGGGUUUCCGCCCCUUAGUGCUGCAGCUAACGCAUUAAGCACUCCGCCUGGGGAGUACGACCGCAAGGUUGAAACUCAAAGGAAUUGACGGGGACCCGCACAAGCGGUGGAGCAUGUGGUUUAAUUCGAAGCAACGCGAAGAACCUUACCAAAUCUUGACAUCCUUUGACAACUCUAGAGAUAGAGCUUUCCCCUUCGGGGGACAAAGUGACAGGUGGUGCAUGGUUGUCGUCAGCUCGUGUCGUGAGAUGUUGGGUUAAGUCCCGCAACGAGCGCAACCCUUAAGCUUAGUUGCCAUCAUUAAGUUGGGCACUCUAAGUUGACUGCCGGUGACAAACCGGAGGAAGGUGGGGAUGACGUCAAAUCAUCAUGCCCCUUAUGAUUUGGGCUACACACGUGCUACAAUGGACAAUACAAAGGGCAGCGAAACCGCGAGGUCAAGCAAAUCCCAUAAAGUUGUUCUCAGUUCGGAUUGUAGUCUGCAACUCGACUACAUGAAGCUGGAAUCGCUAGUAAUCGUAGAUCAGCAUGCUACGGUGAAUACGUUCCCGGGUCU